rnacentral:lncRNA from 1 species
UAGAGUAGGUGUGGCAGCUCAUAGGUCACCUUUGGAGCCAAGGUGAAGAAACGGAACUGCAGAGAGGUUAAGCCACCUGGGGCAGGAACUAGGAUGGAAAUCCAGGCAGUCUUGUUGCUGAGACCAUCUCCAUAAUCCUCUGCUAAACUUCUUCCUACCGAGAAAGACAUGUUCUGGGAGAGCAAGGGCUAAGAGGCUGCUCCUUGAUUCCCCCUGAGUGCCCGCCCUCCAGCCCUCACUCCAGUGAGGGGCCUGACCUGAAACAGCUGUCUGCCCUUGCCAGGCUCAGAGAGUCUCACACUGUCACCAGGCUGGCGUGUAGUGGCGCAAUCUCGGCUCACUGCAACUUCCACCUCCCGGAUUCAAGCAAUUCUUCUGCCUCAGCCUCCUGAGUAGCUGGGACUACAGGUGCGCGCCACCAUGCCCAGCUAAUUUUUGUAUCUUUAAUAGAGACGGGGUUUCACUGUGUUGGCCAGGAUGGUCUCCAUCUCUUGACCUUGUGAUCUGCCCACCUCGGCCUCCCAAAGUGCUGGGAUUAUAGGCAUGAGCCACUGCACCCGGCCCUAAACCAUUUUUUUUUUUAAGUUGGCAGGGCAGCAAGCCCAGGGUGUAGACUGAUGAGACAAGGUCCCUCUGAAAUAGCUCUCAUGGCUCUCCUUGUCUUUCCCACAAACAGAACAGAAGCUAAAGCAGAAAGAAGUUUAAUGGAGACCUGGAAGCCUCUCCGUAAAGACUCUGGGGCAGGAAUGGGAUCUGUUUGCAGGGCUCAGGGAGGACCCACGGCUCCUGUGGAGGCUUACGCGGCACCUGAGAAGUGAUCAGUCAGGAAGAGCUACCUGGAGUACCUGAGCCCAACCAGAUAUUCUUUUCCCCGCCGUCUUCCCCGGGAUCCAGCAAUUUAUAUUCCCUACCUCAGGAAAUCUUGGAAAAGUUAUUCCAGCAGAAUGAAGCAAUGUACUAUUCCAGCAGAACAUAGUCAGGACCUGGUGACGUGGGGGUUUGGCAAUGAUCAAUGACCCUGGUGUCAUACUCUAAAUUUGUUUCAAAAGUGGCAGCAGGGGAGAAGGAGGCAGUGAAAUCAAUACUUGAAGUUUGUCUUGAUUGGAUGGGGUGUGUGUUUUCUUUUCCACCCUAGUUGUUGUUGAAGCUGUUUACCAAAAGGCUGUGCAAAUAGGAUUAGUCAGCUCCAGGGCCAUUAAUAACCCGCUGGACAGAGCUGGCUCCAUUCCAAUUGAUUUUUGAAUUUUUGAAGCUGUCCAUUUUUUUGGAGCAGAGAUGAAAGCCCCAGAGGGGCUGGUAUGAAAGCAUGAGAUUUUUGCCUGUACUGGGGCUGAUCCCACAGAUGCAGGAGAUGAAACGUUCUUCCAGUGCCAUUUGCUUUCCAUCUGAAUGAGGCAGGUCCUGCGGCAGCUCUGAAGAGGCAGGGGCCAUCACAAACGAAUAUUGCAGCAGGUCAAGGGGACACUGCUAUUGUGUGCACACUGAUGGAGACCCAGAGUAAAACGUGGCCUGAGGUUUGCCAGAAUGUGCUUAAGAAGCAAACCUCACAUACCUGAAACUCUCUUCGUGCCCUCCUGUCCUUCCAAAAACUAUCAGUUCGAAUAUCCUGAGAAAUGUCACAUAGGUAAGCUGUAGGACCAUCCUUGAGAGGUUGCUGUUGGUAAAAACCAAUGGGGCCAGAAAACAUGAAUUUAUAUCCCAGCACUCUGGGCUAUAACUUUGAGCAAAUUAAUCUCUCUGAUAUUCUAUUAUAGCAAUUGUGAAUUGACAAUGUCAUCAUAGCCCAUUUCUUAUUUCUGAAAAAGUGCUUUUUCUGGAUCUCAUUCACUUAAGAACUCAAAUUCUAAACAUGGAGACCAUCAGAGCCAAGGUCCUUGUUAAAAGAAAUGUAUGUUUUAUAUAUUAAAGUUUAAAAGAAAUAUA